rnacentral:tRNA from 1 species
GCGCCCGUAGCUCAGUCGGAUAGAGCACCAGAUUCCUAAUCUGGGGGUCGCAGGUUCGAAUCCUGUCGGGCGCGCCA